rnacentral:lncRNA from 1 species
CGCAUCGAUAUCUAACUGACAAACAUGCCUUCAGCUUACUUUAUACAAAAUAGUAUUUCUAUCUCAAUCAAACAAAAAACAUAUUGAAUCUGAGUUCAAAACAAUUUAAAUAAUAAGGACUUUUUUUAGUCUUUGGAUCUGAAAAACUGUAUCAUAUACCAGAUCCAAAAGCUUAUCUCUCUGCCUUAGAAGCUUAUCUCUCUACCUUACUCACCCCUUCAUCUUCACUUUCCUCUUUUUCUCAGAUCGAAAAAGGAGAUUAUAGAUACAAACUCAGAUAUGCAAUGGUUAUGAGUGUGUGAGAUAGCACACAAAAAGAGAGAGAAAGGGUGAGCGACGAAGGUUGUGACUGGAUAAUAGAUUACAAACCUUUUUCCUCCACUUACUUGGCAUUUCCUUUUCCUGCUUGAUGGGUUGACUGUUGGUUUACUUGUUGAAAAUAGUUACAUGUUAUUUAUGUAACAAAAUCAAUAGCAAACAAUAAAAACAUGACAUUUUAUUAAUAAUAGAAUAGAUUUCAUUAUGACAUUUCAUCAAACACUUAAUAGACAACUAAAAUCACAUAUUUUUUCUCUAGGAAAGAAGUUUGUUCAAAAGAACCUAAAUUUUUUGGAGGGAAAUAAUCAAAUAAGCUUGUGCAAAAGAACCUAAAUGGAAUGUAUAAAUCGAUAAACAAGAAAAAUUGGAAAAUAUAACCAGAUAAGCAAUACAUUACUUUUAGGUUGAUAUACGCAACCCAUUUCAGAAAUAAGAGGCAUAAUCAGACUCAAAAUCAUUAAUGGAAACUUAAAUCUGUAUCUAUGGAAUAACUAAGAAAAUGGAAAAAGAAAAGCAAUAAAUUACCUUUAGGCUGAUAUCGACAUUAUCCAUUUCAGAAACCAAAAAUCAGAGGUGUUUUCAAAAUCAAAAAUUGAGAGGCGUAUUCUCCCUAUCGUUUUGACAAUUGCUUCUUGAGAACAAGAAGUGAUUUAGGAGGUGGGAAGAGAACUGGGAGAUUUAAGAGGCUGUGAGGAUCUUUUCCUUUUUUCCCGCUUACGAGCAGCAGACGCGCAAAAAAAAAUGUGAACUGACUGAAAA